rnacentral:rRNA from 1 species
GGAGGGUGCAAGCGUUAUCCGGAUUCACUGGGUUUAAAGGGUGCGUAGGUGGAUUAGUAAGUCAGUGGUGAAAUCUCUGGGCUUAACUCAGAAACUGCCAUUGAUACUAUUAAUCUUGAAUACCGUGGAGGUCAGCGGAAUAUGUCAUGUAGAGGUGAAAUGCUUAGAUAUGACAUAGAACACCAAUUGCGAAGGCAGCUGGCUACACGAAUAUUGACACUGAGGCACGAAAGCGUGAGGAUCAAACAGGAUUAGAUACCCUGGUAGUUCACGCCCUAAACGAUGGAUACUCGACAUUUGCGAUAAACUGCAAGUGUCUGAGCGAAAGCAUUAAGUAUCCCACCUGGGAAGUACGAUCGCAAGAUUG